rnacentral:misc_RNA from 1 species
GUGGGUUUGGUGCAGACUAUGUUAUGAUUUUGACUAGAACAAUCACUUCAUGGUAUGAAGGUUUGCUGCUUGUAGUAGUAGUAGCGUGAAUUUUGAUCUUUAUAAGCUUCGUUUUUGGUGCUUUUAGCUGGUUUUGGCUUAUGGGUAUUGCUUAUUUGGUGGUGAAAUGUUCUCUGCAAAUAUAGAAUAAUAGGUUAUGCAUGAUGUUCGAAGGUUCUGGAAUUAGGGGUUCCUGCAGUAUUUAACUUGAAUUUGACUUCUGGGUAUCGGAGGGCUGGUGAAUAUUUGUGAACUUGUCAUAUGUU